AUGCAAAACAGCCCAGCCGUUGCAAGCCGCCAGGAUCCCUUGCUGCUGCCCCUGAUGCAAAACAGCCCCGCCGUUGCAAGCCGGAGUUUGCUGGUCACCGCUGCUGCAAGGCCAGGAAGGGGCGACGACCAAUGUUUCAAAGGAACGCCACCGAUGAUGCAUGCUGCAGGUCGGAGCACAAACUACUGCUGCGAUGUCGAGUUGCGCGACACGCCGACGACGCAUCAAGGUGGCGCCGCCAGGGUCCUACAAGGCAGCCAACUGAUGUUCAAUCGUUGUUGUGCAGGCCCGCGAGACAUGUGGUGCUGCCAUGGAUCUUCGCCCGGCCGCGGCCGUGUUGCUGCGUUGGCUCUUCGGCCAUUGUCGUGUUGCAAGCUACAAGGCUAG
rnacentral:rRNA from 1 species